rnacentral:misc_RNA from 1 species
UUGUGGAGGAGGACGCCGAAGGUGGGGCUAAUGGCUGGGGUGAAGUCGUAACAAGGUAGCCGUACCGGAAGGUGCGGCUGGAUCACCUCCUAACAGGGAGACAACAAAAUGUUUAAUAUUAUUAUUUUGUCACCUUAGGUCGAUCGGUAUCUCACGUUUUUAAUUUUUUAAGAAUUUCAUUUCCUAAGUUUUUCUAGGUCACACCCAUUUUUUUUCCUGGGCCAUUAGCUCAGGUGGUUAGAGCGCACCCCUGAUAAGGGUGAGGUCCCUGGUUCAAGUCCAGGAUGGCCCAUAUCUCUAUGUUGGGGGUAUAGCUCAGUUGGUAGAGCGCCUGCUUUGCAAGCAGGAUGUCAGCGGUUCGAGUCCGCUUACCUCCACUGAUUACCACCUCUUCCAUAACCGGUAGAAAGGAAAUUUUUUGAGUUGUGAUCAAAUUCUGAAAGAAUCUAGCUUCCUAAUGAAAUCAUUAAGAUGCUGGACUCAUUGAAUUAAUUUCAUUGUUUUCAGAGAACCUUGACAACUGCAUAGAUUAUUUUUAAAGACAAUAAGCAUCUUUAAUGAUGCAGAUUUAUUAUUUGUGCGAAUGCAUUAAUAACAAUUCUAUUAAGCUGAUGCUUCAAUUUUUGAAGUUAUUGGUCAAGCUACAA